rnacentral:rRNA from 1 species
AAAUUGAAGAGUUUGAUCAUGGCUCAGAUUGAACGCUGGCGGCAGGCCUAACACAUGCAAGUCGAACGGUAACAGGAAGCAGCUUGCUGCUUCGCUGACGAGUGGCGGACGGGUGAGUAAUGUCUGGGAAACUGCCUGAUGGAGGGGGGUAACUACUGGAAACGGUGGCUAAUACCGCAUAACGUCGCAAGACCAAAGAGGGGGACCUUCGGGCCUCUUGCCAUCAGAUGUGCCCAGAUGGGAUUAGCUUGUUGGUGAGGUAACGGCUCACCAAGGCGACGAUCCCUAGCUGGUCUGAGAGGAUGACCAGCCACACUGGAACUGAGACACGGUCCAGACUCCUACGGGAGGCAGCAGUGG